rnacentral:rRNA from 1 species
UUUAAGUGUUAAUUACAUUUACCUGGGUAAUAUUAGUUAAGGUCUUUAAACCCAAAGAAUUUGGCGGUAUCUCAUUCCAUUCAGAGGAACCUACCCCGUAAUUGAUAAUACACGAUUAACUCAACUUAAUUUAUUUGCUUGUAUAUCUCCGUUAUCAGAAAAUCUUUUUAGAGUUAUAAUUUUCUUAAUUUAUAAUUAUAAAAUAUUUCAGGUCAAGGUGCAGUUUAUAAUUAAGAGGUGGUGGGUUACAAUAAAUUUUUGUUUAUUACGAAUUUUGUAUUGAAAUAUUAUAAAUGAAGGUGGAUUUGAUAGUAAUUUAAUUUAUUUAGUUUAUUUGAUAUUGGCUCUGAGAUGUGC